ensembl:snRNA U7 U7 small nuclear RNA
CAGUGUUACUGCUCUUUUAGAAUUUGUCUAGCAGGUUUUCUGAUCUUUAUUGGAAAGCCCCC